UGUAUUUUAGUAUAAGAUGUAUAAAAGUUUUUGAUACUUUAGGUAUAAGUUUAAUUCUUUUAAAUACAA
rnacentral:tRNA from 1 species